GGCGGUUCUCAGGUGAUGCACCCUGGAAUCCGGCUUCCUCCACUCUGGUUCUGGGUGUUUCACCCAAGAACCACA
rfam:Myotis davidii contig144144, whole genome shotgun sequence.